AUCUCGUUCUUUCGUGAUUGCGAAAAUUUGGAAGAACUGUCAAAGUGCCAAACAGCCAUCUUGAUUUUGGACAAGUUUGUUAAAGUCGGGAAAAUUUUGAAAAAAAAAAAAACAGUUUUACGGCAUGCAACCUGCUGCUAAACAAAAAUGACUGCGUGCCUGCAUCGCCGACCGGAACCUGCCUGCAAGUGCCAACCCUCGGAAGGACAAUCUCUGCCGGAAAUGGCCAACUCAAUCCGUAGUGCCAGCUGAGCUCAGGGAAAAUGGCCACGGUGGUUCCAAAGGAACUGAAAUGAAAGCCUAUCGCGGCAUCGCGAACAAACGCAAACUCCAAGAUUGGCCAUUCGCAACAGUGAGACCAGCAUCGGGCUACUCCAUUCAUGAAGUCGUUCAAUGACCCACCACAACCGCCACCGCCCUCGCAACAGAAUGGCCACAUCGGCGUCGGAGGU